GGUAAUCUUAGGAUCCUUCCCGCCGCUUGGAACUCACUUUUCACCUCUUCUGCUUGCAAAAAAGUGCUUCUCAUCGCUUCUCCGGCGGCGGUCAGGUGCGUUCUCCGGCUUUGUUACUAAUUCCAGCUUCGGCUGCAGUUUAUCUUUCUCCGUCUUCGUAGAAAAACACAAUCUGUGGAAUUAAUCUGCGGUGUUUACCGAUUUAUCUGUUUAGUUCCCGAGAAAUUGUAACGUGUAGUGUGGAGAUUCAAGAAAUUGUUCAACAUUUGAGCUUUGAUUUUCAUUAUUUUAGGCGCUUAUUAAAUCGUUAGUUAUUUUGUAGCUGAGCUCCGCUAGUGUCUCAUCGGAUUAAACCGUACAUAAACUUUGUUUCUGUUAUCUUCUCUCUGUCGUUACUGUUUGAUGCUGAUGUGAUUCUUAUCAAUCCUUGAGGAGGAACAGUAUGAAUGGAAAUCCGUAUUCUAAUUUUUUGUGAUUUUUUUCUCUCUGCUUCUUUUCUCACACACACAUAAAAGAGUGAUUUGUGGUGCAUUUAGAUCUGUGUUACUUCGAAAAUCAUGAGACUGAGGGCAUGUAAUCACUAUAGUACAAUUUUCUUCAUUAAUCAAGAAACAGUGUCUACAUGUUAAGUAGAAAUGGUGCAGGAUUUGUCAAUAAACGCUGUGACAGCCUUGUGAGAUCCUAGGGUUUAUGGAUCGGCACUUUCACUGAGAAUGAGUUUCAAGCAGACAAGAUUUUCCUUAACUAGCCAAUGCUGUAGAUUGAAACGAGGAAAUUUUAAGGUUAAAGCUGGAUGGUUGUUUAAAGGGGGUGGACAAGGAUUGGGUGCUCGUAUAGAACGCUAACAAUGAUAUUUUAGUUUCAUGUGAGAUCCCACCUCGGUUGGGGUAAGGGUGUAGAAUGGGUUAAGAGUGUAGAAGCAUCUCUGUAGCAUACGUGUUUUAAAACCUUGAGGGGAAGUUCAAAGAGGACAAUAUUUACUAACGGUUACAAAUGGUAUCAGAGUCAAGACACCAAGCGAUGUGACAGCGAGGAGGUUGAGCCCCGAAUGGGGGCGAACUGGGGGGUCCCACAUCGAUUGAAAAAAGGAACGAGUGCCAACGAGGAUGUUGGGGCCCGAAGAACGGUGGUUUGUAAGAUCUCACAUUGGUUGGGGAGAAGAACAAAAUAUUUUUUAUAAAGAUGUGAAACCUCUUCCUAGCAUAAAUGUUUUAAAAACGGUGAAGGGAAGUCCGAAAAGAAAAGUCUAAAAAGGAGAAUAUCGGUUAGCAUUGGGCUUAGACAGUUACAUUUUCCUUUUCAGCUAGACAUGGCUACACUGAGUACUGUACGCAUUGAACAUUGAGCAGUAUGAAAUUGGCCCAGAAUUGAGAACGAAGCUAACUGAGGUCAGGUUUGUCGUUUGCUUUAUUUGAAAUAAAAUGACUUAUUCAUAACUCAUAAGGGCAUAGAUUGUGUGUUCUCUGUUUUACUUGACAAAGGUUGAAGCAGAUAUCAUCAAACAGCAAGAAUCAAAAAGGGUAACUUCAAAGAGCGAAGUUGAAGACAAAGGUUUAAAUAUCAUUGGUCGACGGUAAAGUUUCCCUUAUAUUAUUCCCAACCCAUAUUAAGAUGAUGAUCAAUGGGGCAAUGAUUGAUCCACACACAUCUGUAGAAAUACAUCGUUCAAUGUCUUCCAAAGUGGUUUGUUCAUCUCGUUUCUUGCAUUGCUCCUUCAACUCUCCCUGUGUCUGGGAAGGGUUUCCAUAUUCAUUGUUUUUCAGGUGAUUCAAUGAAACUUGAUAGUUGAAAUUCCAAA